rnacentral:rRNA from 1 species
UACGUAGGGUGCAAGCGUUUGUCCGGAAUUAUUGGGCGUAAAGAGCUCGUAGGCGGUCUGUUGCGUCGGCUGUGAAAACCCGGGGCUCAACCCCCGGGCCUGCAUUCGAUACGGGCAGACUAGAGUUCGGUAGGGGAGACUGGAAUUCCUGGUGUAGCGGUGAAAUGCGCAGAUAUCAGGAGGAACACCGGUGGCGAAGGCGGGUCUCUGGGCCGAAAUUGACGCUGAGGAGCGAAAGCGUGGGGAGCAAACAGG